UGUUAAUGUAGGAAAAGUGAGUUUCGAAGAAUAGUUACCUACCGACGGACGCCCAGUCAUCGCCUGUCUAUCAAUUCUGUGAUCGAAUCUUCCCCAUUUGAAUUACUCAUCGAAGAGAUAAAUACACAUUUUAGAAAAUGUUUUCAAUGGAACAAAUUAAGCGUUAUUUAAUUUAGGUUGGACGUCUAAGUGAUCUGGCUCUUCAAUUGCACCCUGACACAAUUAUUGUGAGAAUAAUUCGUAAAACGUGGAACUGUAACGUCAGAAAAGAAGAAAAGAAAAUCUACUUCAAGAGAGUCUGUAUCAGUAAAUAUAUUUUUAA